UACGUAGGGGGCAAGCGUUGUCCGGAAUCAUUGGGCGUAAAGCGCGCGUAGGCGGCCCGGUAAGUCCGUUGUGAAAGUCAAAGGCUCAACCUUUGAACGCCGAUGGAUACUGCCGGGCUAGAGUCCGGAAGAGGCGAGUGGAAUUCCUGGUGUAGCGGUGGAAUGUGCAGAUAUCAGGAGGAACACCAAUAGCGAAGGCAGCUCGCUGGGACGGUGCUGACGCUGAGGCGCGAAAGCGUGGGGAGCGAACAGG
rnacentral:rRNA from 1 species